CAAAAUAUCACCUCAUCAUCAUAAGCCAACCAAAACAAUCAAAGAGAGUGAUCCAGCAGCAGUCUACUCUGCAGUAAGAACAGAAGAUGUCAGUUAUGGUCGAAUCAUCAUCAAAGAGAAGAAAACCAGAUCAAAGACAAGAGACUUUAAACCAGAGCCAGACGUCGUCUACUCUUCACUGAAGUAGUCCACCAGUCCAACCACUGACGUCCAGCUGCUGGUCUCUACCUGGACCCCCAGCACCUCAGACCAGUGAACAUCCACAUCUUAUGUGUUAUUUUUUUACUUAUUUAAAAAAUAAGAUUAAAAAAAUCUAUUAAUAAUACAAAUAAAAAAAUGAUAAGUUUGUAAUUUUAACUGGAGUUUUAAAAGUGUUUUUUCCAAAAUCAGUAAUAAUUAUGCAUGUAUAUA
ensembl:lncRNA